UACGUAGGGUGCGAGCGUUGUCCGGAAUUACUGGGCGUAAAGAGCUCGUAGGUGGUUUGUCGCGUUGUUCGUGAAAACUCACAGCUCAACUGUGGGCGUGCGGGCGAUACGGGCAGACUGGAGUACUGCAGGGGAGACUGGAAUUCCUGGUGUAGCGGUGGAAUGCGCAGAUAUCAGGAGGAACACCAGUGGCGAAGGCGGCUCUCUGGGCCUUACCUGACGCUGAGACGCGAAAGCGUGGGGAGCGAACCGG
rnacentral:rRNA from 1 species